rnacentral:lncRNA from 1 species
CUUGCACUAGUGAGAAAUAUAAUAAACUAAUAUUUAUGAAAUAUUUAGAGUCAAAAGUAAAUAGAUUAUUAAAUGCAUAAACAAUAUUGCAACGAGUAACGAGUUUCCUGAGGUUCCUUUUUUUUUCCCCCAAAAAGGUACAUGAAAUAAGUGAAAGUCUUCUUUGUUAUAUUUAGCAUUCAUAAAAGUAAAAACGAGUCGAUGG